rnacentral:rRNA from 1 species
UAACACCGGCGGCCCGAGUGGUGAUCGUGAUUAUUGGGUCUAAAGGGUCCGUAGCCGGUUUGGUCAGUCCUCCGGGAAAUCUGAUAGCUCAACUAUUAGGCGUUUCGGGGGAUACUGCCAGACUUGGAACCGGGAGAGGUAAGAGGUACUACAGGGGUAGGAGUGAAAUCUUGUAAUCCCUGUGGGACCACCUGUGGCGAAGGCGUCUUACCAGAACGGGUUCGACGGUGAGGGACGAAAGCUGGGGGCACGAACCGGAUUAGAUACCCGGGUAGUCCCAGCCGUAAACGAUGCUCGCUAGGUGUCAGGCAUGGCGCGACCGUGUCUGGUGCCGCAGGGAAGCCGUGAAGCGAGCCACCUGGGAAGUACGGCCGCAAGGCUGAAACUUAAAGGAAUUGGCGGGGGAGCACAACAACGGGUGGAAGCCUGCGGUUUAAUUGGACUCAACGCCGGACAACUCACCGGGGGCGACAGCAAUAUGUAGGCCAAGCUGAAGACUUUGCCUGAAUCGCUGAGGGGAGGUGCAUGG